rnacentral:lncRNA from 1 species
CAAAUAUUUUCUUCUUUAAGAAAAAAAAUGUUUCCAGUAUGUAGACUUUUCUCAUAUGAUUACAACUAUCAAUUAUCAUUUUAGAUUUCUCUAAGAGCUUUGCCUAAGGACGUAAGACUGGGCAAUGUCAUUUCGUUUUGAUUAUACAACUCUCAUCCUAAAACGGUAUUCUCCUUUUAUCUGGCCAUUUUGUUGGUGACAGAAAAUCAAGACAGCCACCUAUGAAAGUCCCUUGCAUUUCGUAGUCUAACCGAGCUCUCCUUGGUAACCCCAGUGCUAUCUUUCCCUUCCUCUCUUCAGGUCCCUGUUGAAACUCUGACAUGCCUGUAGGAGAAAGCCUGCAUGUUGAAAAGCUUGGACAGAAUAAGGCAGCACCUUAAGCAGAAUUAUUCAGGAAGGGACUCCAAGGAAUCAAAAUCACUACUUCAAUUCUCCGCUGAGCUUUCUGAAGUGUGGAUCUUUAACAACAAACAUAAGUUGGGAACAAACGGAGGAUACCGGUCCAUUCUCCUCACUUGGAUGUGUGUGUGUAUGGAAACUUCUGCUAGGGUGAGUCAUUCUGUUUUUUCAGUUUUUUCUGGACAGCUGGUCCCAAAGUGAC